rnacentral:rRNA from 1 species
AUGGGAUGCUACUGUAGGAAAAUACAGAAUACGGGGUUGGGGUUGCAACUGCUAGCUCGAAUACAUGACAUAAAUGCGUCGCUGCAGCAUCUCGAUGGGAUUACUGACGACCAGGAUAACGAGCUGCAUGGAGCUCGGCCUCCAAACGGCAUUUUCGCAACCUUCAGGGCUUUGUACUCCACGCUGUAUACUGUUAUUGAGCUGAAUGAAAUUUGUCUUGUUCAAAAAAAAGUGAGAGUGCCACUGCAUGGGCGCUCCCUACUGACCAUGACUUUUCCUCAGGAAAAUAUCUUCGCACCUACCGGUUGUCAAAUUGACAGCCACCCAACUUUCAACCCCCUUGAUGUAUUGUAG